AAGCCGUUAUGUGAGCAGUCUCUUACCAUUCUCCUAAACCUCGCCCAAGCAUCGCUGAACGAUUCAUCAGUUUCCUGUUCAAAAUUCGUAAUUAACUUCCUCCUUCU